rnacentral:rRNA from 1 species
AUUGAACGCUAGCGGGAUGCCUUACACAUGCAAGUCGAACGGCAGCGCGGACUUCGGUCUGGCGGCGAGUGGCGAACGGGUGAGUAAUGUAUCGGAACGUGCCCAGUAGCGGGGGACAACCACUCGAAAGAGUGGCUAAUACCGCAUACGCCCUACGGGGAAAGGGGGGGAUCGCAAGACCUCUCACUAUUGGAGCGGCCGAUAUCGGAUUAGCUAGUUGGUGGGGUAAAGGCUUACCAAGGCGACGAUCCGUAGCUGGUUUGAGAGGACGACCAGCCACACUGGGACUGAGACACGGCCCAGACUCCUACGGGAGGCAGCAGUGGGGAAUUUUGGACAAUGGGGGAAACCCUGAUCCAGCCAUUCCGCGUGUGCGAUGAAGGCC